rnacentral:rRNA from 1 species
UACGUAGGGUGCAAGCGUUGUCCGGAAUUAUUGGGCGUAAAGAGCUUGUAGGCGGUUUGUCGCGUCUGCUGUGAAAUUUCGGGGCUCAACCCCGAACUUGCAGUGGGUACGGGCAGACUAGAGUGUGGUAGGGGAGACUGGAAUUCCUGGUGUAGCGGUGAAAUGCGCAGAUAUCAGGAAGGAACACCGAUGGCGAAGGCAGGUCUCUGGGCCACUACUGACGCUGAGAAGCGAAAGCAUGGGGAGCGAACAGG